rnacentral:rRNA from 1 species
CGGCGGACGGGUGAGUAAUGCCUAGGAAUCUGCCUGGUAGUGGGGGACAACGUUUCGAAAGGAACGCUAAUACCGCAUACGUCCUACGGGAGAAAGCAGGGACCUUCGGGCCUUGCGCUAUCAGAUGGAGCCUAGGUCGGAUUAGCUAGUUGGUGAGGUAAUGGCUCACCAAGGCGACGAUCCGUAACUGGUCUGAGAGGAUGAUCAGUCACACUGGAACUGAGACACGGUCCAGACUCCUACGGGAGGCAGCAGCG